AAGAAUAUGAAAUUGUUUCCCAUUAAAAGUGUUCAAUAUCCUUUAAAUACAUAUCAAGCUACUAUCUAGAUACUUAUUACACACAAAUUGAUGAAAUGGAGUUAAGAAUACAAAAUAAGCAUUUUUGGGCCUCUCUCCCCAAGCCCAUGUCUCUUCCUUCGCGGGCCGUGUCCGAGGCAGCCGUUGGGCACGGGGCAGCGAGACCAUAUCGCGAACGGCAGCUGGCAGCCCAAGUCUUGCUCCACCUGCAAGAUGAAAACAAAUAUGAUCAAUAAAGAACAAGAGGAAAUUAAAGAAAGACAUACUAAAGGGUGGGGGGACAACCUCCACACCACCACCAAAACUCCCCUCACUCACACUUCGUUUCCCCAGCCACAAUAGCAAAUUGAAAGUGAGGGAGAGCUUGGAGUAGAGUGCUGCAGAUUUCUCGCAGGCAGCCCUGCUUUCCAUAGGUCCCAGUAUGGCCGCAAACCCUACUCGGACUAAUGUAAACAUAUGGGGAUCGUGAGCUAACUUUCGAGUUGGUCAGUCCAGUGACCGUCGUGGAAUGUGGCCACAUUCCCGGUUCGCAUACGUUUCAGAUAUGGUAUCCACGAUAAACUUAGAUUGCAAUCGCCUUUAUGAACGAAAAUAAUUUUAGUGACUCAGGCCUUUUAAGUUAAAACCCCGUGUUCACUCAACGGUGGCAGACAAAACUUUUACGAAAAUUAUAUUUUGGCACUAUGUCCACUGAGUAUAUUAAGUUCUCAGUCCUGCAUGUUUCUUUUCUAACGUGCUGGUUGAGCGUGAACGAGGAGGCAAAGGUGUUGGGUGAUGAUUAUUAAUAAGUAGCAAUAGGUAGCGCAAAGUAGUGUGUCCUCACACAUACUACUUUGUCUUGGACUCUUCCGCUGCAAUAGGACUAUGUUCUAGGAGUUUAUGAAUUCGGUUAUUAUACUUUGAUUUUAUUUGGACCA